rnacentral:ncRNA from 12 species
CGGGUGAUGAAGGCCGGCACCCGGCCCUGCCCCAACUCUGCUCUGCUCCUGAAG